rnacentral:rRNA from 1 species
AUACGGGGGGUGCGAAUGUUGUUCGGAAUCACUGGGCGUAAAGCGCGCGCAGGCGGCUUGGUAAGUCAGAUGUGAAAGCCCCGGGCUCAACCCGGGAAGUGCAUUUGAAACUGUCAGGCUUGAGUGCGGUAGAGGGAGGUGGAAUUCUCAGUGUAGAGGUGAGAUUCGUAGAUAUUCAGAGGAACACCGGUGGCGAAGGCGGCCUCCUGGACCGACACUGACGCUGAGGCGCGAAAGCGUGGGGAGCAAACAGGAUUAGAAACCCCAGUAGUCC